rnacentral:rRNA from 1 species
UACAGAGGGGGCAAGCGUUGUUCGGAAUUACUGGGCGUAAAGGGCGCGUAGGCGGCCCGCUAAGUCGAACGUGAAAUCCCCGAGCUCAACUCGGGAACUGCGUCCGAUACUGGCGGGCUUGAAUCCGGGAGAGGGAUGCGGAAUUCCAGGUGUAGCGGUGAAAUGCGUAGAUAUCUGGAGGAACACCGGUGGUGAAGGCGGCAUCCUGGACCGGCAUUGACGCUGAGGCGCGAAAGCUAGGGGAGCAAACGGG